rnacentral:rRNA from 1 species
AUUGAACGCUGGCGGCAGGCUUAACACAUGCAAGUCGAGCGGAGAUGAGGUGCUUGCACCUUAUCUUAGCGGCGGACGGGUGAGUAAUGCUUAGGAAUCUGCCUAUUAGUGGGGGACAACAUUCCGAAAGGAAUGCUAAUACCGCAUACGCCCUACGGGGGAAAGCAGGGGAUCUUCGGACCUUGCGCAAUUGGAGCGGCCGAUAUCAGAUUAGGUAGUUGGUGGGGUAAAGGCUCACCAAGCCAACGAUCUGUAGCUGGUCUGAGAGGACGACCAGCCACACUGGGACUGAGACUCGGCCCAGACUCCUACGGGAGGCAGCAGUGGGGAAUAUUGGACAAUGGGCGCAAGCCUGAUCCAGCCAUGCCGCGUGUGUGAAGAAGGCCUUUUGGUUGUAAAGCACUUUAAGCGAGGAGGAGGCUACUUGGAUUAAUACUCUAGGAUAGUGGACGUUACUCGCAGAAUAAGCACCGGCUAACUCUGUGCCAGCAGCCGCAGUAACAC